rnacentral:rRNA from 1 species
UGGGGAAUUUUGGACAAUGGGGGAAACCCUGAUCCAGCCAUCCCGCGUGUGCGAUGAAUGCCUUCGGGUUGUAAAGCACUUUUGGCAGGAAAGAAACGUCAUGGGUUAAUACCCCGUGAAACUGACGGUACCUGCAGAAUAAGCACCGGCUAACUACGUGCCAGCAGCCGCGGUAAUACGUAGGGUGCAAGCGUUAAUCGGAAUUACUGGGCGUAAAGCGUGCGCAGGCGGUUCGGAAAGAAAGAUGUGAAAUCCCAGAGCUCAACUUUGGAACUGCAUUUUGAACUACCGGGCUAGAGUGUGUCAGAGGGAGGUGGAAUUCCGCGUGUAGCAGUGAAAUGCGUAGAUAUGCGGAGGAACACCGAUGGCGAAGGCAGCCUCCUGGGAUAACACUGACGCUCAUGCACGAAAGCGUGGGGAGCAAACAGG